CCGCGCCGGCCUGGCCCUGGGGGUGGGGGGAAGGCGGCGCGGCCCCUCCGCACCGGCAUGAGGGGCAACCUGCCCUCAGGGCCUCGGCCGGGGGCAAGAGGGGAAAAGCCCCAUUUCCCUCCUCCUCCUCCACCCCCAGGCUGGGCACAGCGGGAGCCCCCAGUUCCCUCAGGGCUUCUUAGGCCUCCAUUUUCCUGCUCUGAGGGGAAAACUUGCUGCCCCCCCCCCACCCCACUCCUAGGCUGUGUCCCCAGCAGGUACCUGCCCCACUGUGCCCAGCAAAGCACUAGCACCCCAAAAAUUAGUGCGGAUUUUCUUCCCAGGCAGGAAAAGAGCCUGGGGGAUGUAAGGGAAGGAGCAGGGAUCUGUAAAACUCACCCUCAAAGACCAGCUUUCACCUCGGGGCUUUCCACAGCAAAUAUCCUCUGGGGGCUUUCCAGCUGGGCUUGGGUGGAAAUUUGAAGGUGGGCUCAGCUGGGUGUGGGUGGAAGCUUGGAUGUGGGUGCAGCUGGUUUUGGGUGGAAAUUUGAAGGCGGGUGCAGCUGGGUUUGGGUAGAAAUUUGGAUGUGGGUGCAGCUGGGUUUUGCUUUGGGUCCUGGGGACUGCCCUCAAGUUAAAGCAUUUGUUUUGGUGUGAUCAGAGCCUGCCCUUAUGGCAGCUUCUUGCUCCACUUGCUGUGGAAGGUAAGUGCUGUGCUGGGUUGGUAAAUGUUUAUUUGUUCCUCUUGGUUUGUCGUAACUGAUACCUGGAAGGAGAAACUAGAAGCUUCAAACAAAGUAAGUGGUUUGGGUUUAAAACAGUAUGAGUGCUUGAUGUCCAUGUCUGGGUCUUGGUGGUGGCUUGUGCAUGUGGCUGCACCUCUGGGGUGGGAGGGUGAAGCCAUGGCACUGCUUUCCUUUGCCUAAUUAAUCUUCUCUAACAGCUGCCUGUAAACAUAGCUGCAAGGAAGCAAGUGUCUCCACUGAAAAGAGAGGAGAAAAGAGCAUCUCAAAAAUGACUGGGCUUAGGAAAUCUUGCGUGCUUCUGGGAAAGGGCAGGGCCGGGAUAUCUCCCUUCAAAACUGAGCUGAACAAAGGAUUCGUUGUUUAGAAGUCCAGUUUGAUAAAGUGCCUUUUCGUUGCCCAGUUUCUGUGGCUUUGGUUUACAUGCUGCUUGCUGCAGAGCUCCUUGGGGUCUGUUUGCUCAUGGCAUGGGCUGGUCUGUCUGCCUGUUGCACAACUGUGUCCAUGUUGUCCAGGACUCCUUGGUUUUGUACAGUGGCAGAAACCAGUGCUGCUAUAAAUGGGCUCUCAAGCUGUGCCACAGCCUUGCUGCGUAGCCGUAUGGAUUUAGUGAGCAUACUCCUGUUAUGAACCCCAUAAGUAUGAUAACUUUUCAUUGCUCAGAUAGAAACAUAUCUAACAGAUAAACAUGUCUCUCCUUUAGGUGCAGCUUGUACCGGCUGAGUUUUCACCCGUAUUGCUUAUUCCAUGCAGUUGCUGGCCUCCACAUAAAGCCAGCUCCGAAGGCUCAGUUUUGUCUGUGUAGCUGCUGAUGAAUCAUACCUCAUUCCUGCAUGAUAUCACCGCGCUUGCAGCGUCCGCAGGGCACAGCUUGAGUUUUGGGGAUGCUCCUUUGCUUUUGUGUGGCAUUUACAACUCCACCGCACCAGCAUCGUCUUCCUGCAGAUCAGCGUGACAGCGUGGAGUCCCCGGCGUGGGUGCUGGCCCUCAGCUGCCUGCUGCCUUUGGGCAGUGAAGGUUGCCAGCUCCUCGAGGCUCUGCAGGGUUACUACAAGGAGAGCUGCACGGGAGAAGCAGUAGGGCGCAUGGUUACUUCUGCUUUUGAUGCUCCUCAAUGCUGGGCGACAGAACCAGAUUUGCAGUAAGGACUGACUGCUGGACAGCAGGGUAACUCCCCACCUCCGAAACCGUACAGACUAAACACGAGAUAAGAGCCAGCAGAUGGAUUUUCCGACGGGGAAGAGACGACACGAUAUCGCUCAGCUUUGCCGGAGCACAGCAGCAGCCUGUUCUCCACAAAGGGUGACCUUGAUGGUUUUCCAGUGGAGAUGGAGAUCCUGAAUAGCAAACUGAAACCUAGUGAGGCAUCAGCUUGCUUUCCCUACUUACUUUUCACAGACCCCACAGAAGUCACCUAUAGAGGCACGAGCAUCUUCAGACCACAGGUAAGAUGGGCAUAACGAAGGCUGAGACAGAGAACGCGAUGACUGCAGUUGGAGGAAAAGGGGCUGAGGUCUGCCUGCAGCGUUCGGGGAGCUGACACCAAUCCUGAAAGCUCCCUCAAGAGGGUCGGUGGGAGAACAGCCGGCGCCUAACCCAGCUGCAGCACGAUGUAACGCUCAUACGGCUUCAGGAAGCUCCUCUUCAUAGUUCAGUGCUCUCUAGUUUGAUGUUUUGAAGGUAUUGGGAGGAUCACUGAGGAUCAGGAGGGAUCUGAGGGACCUUUUCCGUGUGAGGUCUAUGUUCCCGAGCUUUUGUACUGUGCUGGGUCUGCUUCCCUCCGGUGUCCGGAAGGCACAUUGGGAACACCUGCUUCUCCGAGCAGUGCACGCGUACUGGGCACUUUAAUUAAUCCCUAAAGGAUUCAAUUCCUGUGUUGUUAAAGAUGUGCCAGCAUUUUCUUUGCAAAUCUUUUUGGUUCCCAACAAAGUUAGUGCAAACAUGUCUCUUAACUUGCUGUAGCUGGAUUGGGGCCCUGAACUGAGUUCACUUUGGGAUAAGGCUGAGGAAACCUGUUGUUUUCUGAAUGUGGAAGAAACCAUAUAUUCCACCUGCUGUGAUUGCCAAGGUGGAGAAAUAUAAGGAAUCUUUUUAGCUUUAGGCUUUUUGCUUUUGUGCUCUAGGACCAGCUGCUGGGCAGGAGCUUUGCUGAAAUUGGUGCCCGUUGGCGGGUUUGCACCAUCUCAGGAGCUGGGUCCCUGCGGGAGUCUCGGGCUGAGGGUGGUCUGCGAGGGUGUGGGGAAAGAGCAGGCUGCCAAAAGGUAAAGUGAUCGUGUUCAGCCCACCAGAAGAGAAGUUUAAAUCUGAGUAAUUCUAAUAUUAAAUAGCAAUGUAACCAGAAAAAGUGUGAUUCUGGUAAGAAAAUACGUUCCCACAACUCUUAGUGUAUCUAGUAGGGUUUUUCAGUUGAACUCAGCUGAUCAGAUACCUCAGUUAAUUUGAAUGGGACUACUAAAUACACUAUUGUAAGUAAAUGCAGGGUAAUACUCUAUGCAGUGGUAAUACUCUACAGAAUCUAUGUUUCCAAUUAAUUCAAACAAAUGUUUCAUUAGACUGAAUGGAUCUCCCACUUGUAUGUAUCAGCUCUUAUUUAUCACGGUGCUCAAUGGAGCAGAAUAUCAAGCUGCUGAAAUCUAACGUACAUUUGCAAUUAGUGUCAUGGAUUAUUUCUUUUGAAUGUGAGCUUUUUCUGGAUAUUCUUACUGCAAUCAGUUUAUAAAUGAGCUAAUUUAUAAAUUAGCUUUCUGCUAUCCCAGAGGUCGACCCUUUGGCUUGGGGAUGUCUAAGGAAUGUCUGCUGCUCAUGUGCAUCAGCCGAUUCCAAAUGUAAAGAAAAUCGAAGCACCCCCCCAGCCUGCCCAUUUGCAAACAGUCCAAGUGAUCCGUGCUCCCUGAGCUAUUAAAACGAGAGGGGAGGAAAGCCUUGAGCCGGCUGUUUAAUAUCUGUAGACUGACCUGGCAGUGCAGCUCAGCGCGCUGCACACAGGGACCUGAGCCCGUGCGGCUCUUCCCGGCUCUGCUGCCACGUGCCCUGGUCCUGGCCCCCUCCCCGAGGGUCUCCUUCUCCGCCUGGAACCAGGGCCAUGUUGCCAGCUUCCUCCGGAAAACCCUCGGAGAUCCGCAGGUAGCGAGCAGCGUCUUGGACUGUGGUGCUAUUGUUACUCCCUCAGCGCAUAAAAACCUCUCUGAAACGGCUUCUUUCUUUUUUUGGAUUCCUUCCCCAGUGUAAUUUGGGGUUAUUAGCUCAUUUAGAAACACCACAAAGACACUGUUUCAGAUAAAUUUUUAAAGAAAUUGCACUGCGUUUUAUUGUUUAAGAGGCUCUGAGGGUCUUAAGGCUCUUUCUUUAUCUACUCUUCGAGCCCAACCUGCAAUUUUCUCCCCUUUGUCUAUGUGACUGCAGCCAAAAAGGCCAUUACAAAUCUUGGACCGCAGCUUUUUGUGAGUCAGUGUCUGGUUUUACAGCAAAGCGCGAGCUGGAGUUACCGCCGGGUUGUUUAUGCGGAGCGGUGCUCGUUGCCGCGUUGCUGCUCUGAAUUUACGGCGCUCCGUUGCUGCCGGGCUCUGCUCUCCCGCCCGCCGUCGGGGAUCGGCUCCCGGCUGGAGGGUGCUGCAGAGAAAAACCACGCUGCUUCGUACCUGCUGGCUGCUGGCCCGUGCAUCGAUUGACUUGCUGCUAAUUAUUUAUUUGUGGGAAAUCAGCAGUGGUUCUUAGAGGGGGGUUUUGCCAGGAAAAGCAGCGCGGCAGUGGGGAAUCUCCAAUGUGCCCGUUCUGCGUGGUGGCCCGGCCCGGCCCAGCACCCCCUGCCAACUGGGACCAUCGGCAUGGAAAACGAGCAGGUUUCCAACCCUUGGUACCAGCAAGGGCCAAAUUGCUAAGGGGAUGGUGGCCGCAGGCAGUCGCCCUGCGGGGCCUUGCUGCGAAUGCUUUGGGAGCAAUGAAGACAGGCCGGCCUGGAAUGAGAUGCCAUCCUGUAUCAGAAUGACCCUAACAUCUCGGGUGUAUUUAUCACCAACUUCGCCUGCUUUUGGGUUGCUGGUCUCGGCCGCUCCCUGCUAUAUGGCACGGUGUCAGGAUGCUGUGGGAAACGGGGAAUUGUAUUGCAUGGGUCUUAAGAAAUGGGGUGAAAGAGAAAGAAAAUUAUCAUAGGGUAUUUUUUGCAAUAUUGUCUUAAUUUUGCAAGCAGGCAACUUCAUGGAUUUUGUGUAAUUUUAAAAUAUUUCCUGGCUACAAAGAGGGGAUUUUUUUGGGGGGAGGGGAGGGUGUUCUUAAAACUCUCUGCUAUUUUUCCCUUUGACCUUUGAACUGCCAGGAGGACAGAUGUGCGUGCAUGGGUUCAGAGUGGUGAGGCCUGGAGCAAAAGUGACUCAUCCAGGGUGAAAGUCCCCGGGAAAAAAUGCCCUCUGAUGGAAAGAGGUGUCAGAGCAGCAGCUUGGCUUUGGCCGCUUGCUGCCUUCCCGUUGGACUGGGUUAGGAUUUAAUCCCGUGCAGCCGCAGCUGGGCUUGGAUAGACUUUAUGGAGGAACUCGUGGGAAGUGCAGGCGCUCUGGGGCUAGUCUGUCUGCUCUUGGGCCAUGGGUGUCCAACCUCUUGGCUGAAUUUAGGUCCCCCAGGAAACAGCCUGCGGCCCUGGGCGUCCCGAGGAGAAGGCAAGGCAACGGGUCCUCCCGUGGCCGCUGCCCCAGGCCGGCGUGGUGGGGAGCAGAGGGCCUGCAUUGCAUCUGCAGGUGACCUGCGUCGCAUCUGCAGGUGACCCGAAGCGAAAAGAGGCUGCAAGCUCAGCAGAGGCAGGAUUCGACCCUGUUGGACAGGGGAAACGAUCUGAAAUAAGUAAGAUCCAACUCAGCAGGGACACGCAUGAAGUAGGGCAACUGCACAGCGGCAAAGGAGGGAGCAACCCAUGGCUUCUGUCGAAGAUGGGUUGGGGUGCUCCACGCGAGCCCCAAGGGGACGUGCAGCAUCGCGGGGGGGCAGGAACGGGGCUGCUUCACAUGGGAUGGAUGGAGUGACCCCUCCGCCCGGCCCGCUGCAGGGACGGCCCGGCUGGAGCACCGCCUGCGUCGGGGCAGCCGGUCUGUUCUGGGGCCGAGGCACAAGGUCCACCGUCUUCAGCAGCAGUCUCGGGGCAGCUCCGUGUUCUGGCGUGCUGUGCACAGUCUCACGGUUUCUGCGGCUUAUAACUGAAGUUAGAAAUCUGACUUCUCCUCCUUACGCUUCUGGUUUUAAAGAAAAUCUGUCCUUAUUUACGGAGCAAAAGUGACAUUUACAGAUCUCCAUGCGUUUUCCUGUAGUCACUCUGGAACAGACUCAUCUCUGUGUCACCGUCCUGUGCUGGGGGUGUCACGUAAUAACCCUUCUGCAGAGACCCCCAUGGAGGAAGGAGCGGCUUGAACUGCACAGUCUGCCCUGAUACCAGAGAGGCAUUUGGAGAAUUUCUGAUGCUGUUAAUGAACUGGCUCAAAACAGAGGUGUAGCAGCAGAGCUGAGCCUCCGUCCCCUGGGUCUGCUUUACACCCACUUAACUCCACUGAUGUCAGCACUUUUCCUGCCCCUGAGCCACGCGGAUGUCCGGCAGCUCGUGGCUGCCCUGGCCACGGGAAGCCCCCAGGCUCUGCUUCUCUGCCGAGCUCGGUGGCAGGACCGUUACCAUCAUCGCGUUGGAUUUUUCUAAAGCUGAGCCUCCAGGUUUUUUCUCUGCUCGCUCCAACGCUUUCACGAAUACUUCCCUGCCCACAUGCUUGGAUCCCCUCGGAGGUCACACGGCCCUCUCUUCCCGCGCAGAGGGGAAAUUGCAUGAUCGUAUGGAAAAUAGCAAUAAUGCUGUUGAGUUUUGUUACCACGGGAACAGCAGCUCGCACCAGAAGCACGGCCCAUCGGAGGGAGGAAGGCUGCGUGGCGGGGAGGAUGCACGCUGCGCUUUGACCUGAAACAGUGCCGUAGCCAAGGAACUGAAUACGAAAGGCCAAGAGCUGCUCCGAGUCGAGGGUUAGUCUCUCAUUUCCUUCUGACCUUUAACUGUAAAUUGUCCUCCUUGUGAUCUCAUAGUAUAACCUGGUACUGCAUGUGGUUUUUCAUACGUUGCAUUAAUAAAUGGGACAAAGCAC